UACGAAGGGGGCUAGCGUUGCUCGGAAUCACUGGGCGUAAAGCGCACGUAGGCGGAUCUUUAAGUCAGGGGUGAAAUCCUGGAGCUCAACUCCAGAACUGCCUUUGAUACUGGGGAUCUCGAGUCCGGAAGAGGUGAGUGGAACUCCGAGUGUAGAGGUGAAAUUCGUAGAUAUUCGGCGGAACACCAGUGGCGAAGGCGGCCUUCUGGACAGUGACUGACGCUGAGACGCGAAAGCGUGGGGAGCAAACGGG
rnacentral:rRNA from 1 species